rnacentral:rRNA from 1 species
CUAGUAAUCGUGGAUCAGCAUGCCACGGUGAAUACGUUCCCGGGUCUUGUACACACCGCCCGUCACACCAUGGGAGUCGGUAACACCCGAAGUCAGUAGUCUAACCGCAAGGAGGACGCUGCCGAAGGUGGGGAUUGACGACUGGGGUGAAGUCGUAACAAGGUAUC